UAGUGGAAAGUAGUGGACACCGGUCAAAGAGAAGGGAUGGGUUAUUGACGCCUUGGAAAUUGCGAAGGCCUUUAUCUUUUCCGUUUCCUCUUCCUUGCCUUCAAUUGCUCCACCCAUCUUCUUCUUUCUUUGUAAAAUUUCCCUGCGCCACCCAUCUUCUUUUUCCUUUGUAAAAUUUCCCAAAACCUCAAGCACAUCGAAGAAAUCUUCUAAAACAUUGCAUGCUCGAUCGAAGAAAUCCCAACUAUCCAGGUGAUGCUGUGAAACAACGAUAUGUAUAUAUAUUUUAAACAUAACCGCCUAGUCCGCCGCUGAGGUUGCCGAGGUCGCCUAGCCUGCCCAAUCGGCCGCCUAGGUGCCGCCUAAUAUCCUUGCCAAUUUGUUGAACGCUUUUGGAAUAAUCACGGCGGCAACCUAGCCUGCUUUUUAGAACAGUGGUUUUGAUAUUAGUGGUUUUAGGUUGGACAUUUGACAGUUCCAAUUCAACCCAAUUCUUGUAUUAGAAAGGUUGGCUUGGGCCAGAGUUGAUGUCCAACCAAUAUUUCAAGGACAAAUAAAAAUGAGUUAUUCAUUUGAGGUCAAUGUUACAUGUUUAACAUAGAUUUCAAUCA